rnacentral:misc_RNA from 1 species
CUGCCGAACUCGUCAUUUUGCGCAGCAGUUGUGUGCUAGUCGCUGCUCGCUCCACUCUCGAACCUUCAUAUGUAUCUCUUCGUCUUGCCCCGUCGCCGUCUUCGCAUGAAGACCCUCUCGCCCGUAGCUGUGCACUGCUACUCCUCUCUAUCGGUGCCCUCUGUGUCUUGGACGCCUUCACUCCUCGCCGCCUGACUCACCCGAUCACUCUCUCUUCUUCCUGUUCUGUCGUCUUCGGGGAAACGGCCAGGUGUGACCCCUUUCCCACCCCCUCUCCAGCACUUGUGUUUGUGGAGGUGCUCGCCCUUGCUUUUUUCUUCCGUUUUGCCUUUCUGUGAGAGUAGUGCUUGCGCCCCUUCCAUCCCUCGGACAACACUCUCCACCGUUCUUUCACCCACCGCAACUGAAGUCAGCCCGCGUGUCAAACGCGCGCCUCUCUUGGCUCGCAAGUUUUUUCCCCCUAUCUUGUGGCGGCACGUGCGUUUGCGUUCCCCUCUGGUCUUUUUCCGGAUUCUCUCACUGCGUCUGGGAUUCAGCCGGCCUAUCCUUUUACUGCUUUGCCACUGGUAGACAUGGAGAAGGGCAUUGAAGAGAUAGUGGACGCGUGUGCGCACCUUCUGGCGGAGAUGAAGAGCGACACGAGGGAACGAACAAUACUGUCCGCUGUUAGCAAGACGCUGAAGCGCCUCGCACAGGAGUCUCGUCAGCACCAGGACCAACUCUCGGCGCAGUCGGCACCGUCCCAGGGGGCAAACGCGUCCUUGCCAAUGCCUUCCGCUGCCGCGCCGUCCUGUAGCGCGUCGGCGCUGCAGUCGUCUGGUGCAAAGCCGUCUCCCACAGGUGGCGACCGGACGGAGGCGGCCGCGGUGGUCAGUACAACAAGCCUAGAGGCCACAGAGGCGACACAAUCCGUUGCAGCGUUGCUGUCUGCCCCUUCCAGCUCCUCGACGUCUGUACCUACGACCACCACUGCCUGCAGUCCGCUACAGCGGUUCUUGUGUAAUGACGAGGAGCUCAGCAAACUGGCGUACGCCUGCCGUAUGGCGAUCAUGGGCGAAAAUGGAGGCCUUGCUCGCAACUCGGUGCGCAUUCUGACAGCAGCGCUUGAGUUGGCCGCAGUCGUUUUGACAAGUGGAGUUCUGCCAUCGGAGUUGGUGGCGCCGGCCCCCACGUUCGCGGUACCCGAGUCGACUGCAAGAGGGGCCAAAGUGUUUUUUUCAAAGCUGCUGGGUGGAAAGAAGCGUCCUUCGUCGCCAAGUUGCGCUGGCGCGCCGGACGCGGUAUCUAGCGAAAUCACAUCCGUGCCUGCAGACACUGUGGGGCUGAGCCAAAACGUGCGUGACUGCCUCGUAGACGCGGUCUUGGCGGCGGUGGACACAGUGCAGUCGAAGGAGUCGAGUGACCGGCUGUACUUUGUGAUGAUUGUCGCCCUCAAGGCUGCUGCUGCACCCCGCCUCAGUCGAAAGGCAAGCACCAACACUCAGCCCUCUGCGUUUCAGCCACUGCAACUGUCUGUGCACGACGGUCGCCUAGUAAGCGUGUUCCGCGCCCUGCUUGAGCUCUGCUCCCGAUCAGCGGGGGUGUCGCCGAUCCUCAUAGACGAGGCGCAGAAGGCGCUGCAUGCGAUAACGCGCGCCUUGUCCAAGUAUGUCGAGCAGGGAGUCUCUGACGGUGACGACAGGAGCGGUGCGGGUGGCUGCUCGAAGGAGCAAACCACCACAUCGCACUCUGCGUCGAGCUCUUCAACCGGCACACCGCUCAUGCCUUUGCCAACUGCGGUGACCUCGAUUUCGGCAGGCAAGCCGACGGGUCCAUCCUUCGUCGACCCGCCUCUCGAGCGCACAGAGACAGAUAACGGGGAAACACCAGACAAAGCACGUGAACUGACGGCAGAGAAACCGCCUUCGACCACAUCCUCCACUAUCGCUGCUGCUGCGGCCCCACUUGGGGUUCCGCCUGUGUGUGACCGAGCGGAAACGACGACCGCUGCCGCGCUUACGGCGGCGUCGCCACCUCGACGGCUCCGUGGGGUGACGGACAUGCUUCUGCUGCUAGAGUUGUGCGGCCACAUCGCUCGCCUGACGCCGCUUUCCUGCAUUUCGUCUAUCUUGUCAGGGAGCGGCGGCGGACUUGAGGUGGGCGUCGCGGCGGCGUCGGCGAGCGAGUAUCAUCGCGACGCUCCGGUCAACUGCGCUGGCGGUGGCGGUGGCGGUGACGGUGCGGCGCCGGCGGCUCCUCGCAGAACCUCCGGCAACGCCACAGAAGAGGGUGCCUCCACUACGAGCUUUUCUGCCGCGUCGCUGAAUGAGCACAUUCUGGUGACGGCUCUGAGUUUUCUCUUGUACAGUAUUGUGAACGGCGGCCCGCAGUUCCGCAAGAGUCCAGAUAUUGUCCAGCUGCUGCGUCAGGUUGUCGUGCCUGCUGCAAUUCGCACGUCGAUCUCGGCGGACCUGGACAUCUUUCGGCUUUCCAUCAAUGUACUCUUAAGCUGCUGCCUGCGCUUUGGUCCGCAGAUGGUAAGUGAGACGAGCACGGUCUUCCGUCACGUGUACUUCCGUGUUCUAGACUCCUCUUUCACCUCCUUGGAGCACAAGCUACUCGUGCUUGAGGCCUUCGGGUCGUACAUCGAGGAGCCGCAGCUCCUGCUUGGGCUCUUCCUGAACUACGACUGCAACACGCACUCGCAGAGUUUUUUCGAGAUGAUGAUCCACUACCUCGGCGCGCUCGCCAUGCCUCCGGCACAGCAGGUGUGCAACAGCGAUCUCUUCGCUGAGCUGAAGAGGGUUCUGACAGUGCGGCUGGAGUACGACGUGCCAGAACCACUUCGCCGCAAGGCACUUGUAAGCCUGUUGCAGGUCUCCGACUCAAAUAUUCAGUGGAUCGAGCGCUUUGAAUGCGAUCAGGAGGAAGACGGUCACGCCGGUACACCCAGCAAUGGGGCUGCGUGUCGAGACGGCGCGACGGCAGAUACAAUACCCCACGAGCUUGCCGGCUGUUCGCCGUUCGUGCACGACCUGAGUGAGGACGGACUGCGGCACGGUAGGACGCACGCAUUGCUGUGUGGCGUCGAGGUCAUGGGCUCAUCGAUGAGUGGCGUCGGCAGCAACGGUGGUCUCGCCGCGGCCGCGAACGUCGACGCUUUCCUGCAGGCCCGACGGUACAAGGAUGCGUUCAAGAAAUUCCUCGAUUUGUUCAAUCAGAAGGCAGCCCCAGAUGCGGCCAUCGAAUACUUGGAAAACUCUGUGCUGAUCCUCGAGAGCGCCGGCCAGGCGGUCAGUGCAACACCGGAGCCACCGACGACUGUGGGGGCGCAAGGUUCACUGAACGACAGAGCAGGGGCUGCCGCUAUCCCCACCACAGCCACGGGCACCACCAACGCAAGCACCUCGGAUGGGCUUCGCAAUGACGAUGCAGAGGCGCCAUCAGAUUCUAAUGCGGUUUCAAGAAGGACGGAGCAGGUGCCGGGAGACGGUGACGUUGAUGCUGCCGCCGCAUCCCCCGCCCCUGUGGAAGCGGCAGCGACGCCUACGGCAGCCAUCACGAGUGACGUGGAUGACGCCAUGCUUCUCUCUGCUAGGAAGGUGGCAGCGUUUCUGCGUGUCAAGGAGGACUACCUUGACAAGAUGGUGCUGGGCGACUACUUUGCCAAGUGCUUUCGACGUCCGUCGUCGCGUGUCGUGUUCGAGGAGUGGAUUGGGCUACACGACUUUACCGGCAAGACGCUGGACGAGGCACUGCGUCUCUUCCUCGGCGGCUUCAAGCUCUUGGGCGAGGCGCAGGUCGUGGACAAAACAAUGGAGCUGUUCGCGGCGCAGUACUGCCGUCAAAACCCCGGCAUCUUCGGCUCUGCAGACACCGCCUUCAUUCUAUCUUUCUCCAUCUGCAUGCUCAACACCGACGCCCACAGUCCGCACAUCAAAAACAAGAUGACGAAGGAGGGCUUUCUGCAGAAUAACAGAGGCAUCGACGAGGGCAACGACAUCGACCCGUCCAUACUCGGUGGCAUCUACGACCGCAUCAGCGGGGAGGAGAUCGUGCUGCGGCCGUCGCCGAAGUGCGGCACGCAGCCGUCGGUGCACGCGUCGGCCGCGGCCGCGGCGGGCGGAUUUGCCGGAGGCAGACGUAGCAGUAAGUUGACAACGAACCUGCUGGACUCUAUUCCCUUGCUGCGCCACCUCUCUCCUAUCGCGGCAGCCAUCACGGACAAAGUCUUGCUACCAAUGGAUGCCGCCGGCAACGCGCUGUUCAACUCAGCCCGGCGCAAGCGAGAGGAGAUGUACCAGCAGGAGUUGCGUGCGACGUUGAAAGAGGUGAUGAAUGCGCUACAAGAGGCUUCCACCAACGACGCGGCGCAUCAUGCGAUGUUCUUAACGGCGACGAGCAUUGAGAACGCCCUUCCCAUGUGGGAGGUGUCGGUAGAUGUGGUGUGUCACAUUGUCGUGCUGGCUCUGCAACAGCUGCUGGAGGAUUCGGAGAAAUACGUGCGACCGCAGUCCUUCUCGUCGCCGUCACCGCCCGGGAACGAGCUGGAGGCGGGGGCGGAGUACGAGGCGGUGACCGCCUACUUGGAGGACACGCAAAGCGCUGGCUAUUUCAGCACCAUUCUCCUCGGUUUGCAGAACACCGUGCGCGUCUGCUGCGCGUUCGGCAACGUUUCCCACACGGAGAAGCUGCUGGAGCACAUGUUCGAGAUGACUCGUCUGACCUCCGUUGUCGUCCUGAAGGCAGUGCCUAGCUCCCGUGUGAUGAUAAAGUCGACGAUCCCCUUUACGCGUUUGCAGGUGCUCUCGACAUUUUUCAACCUGUUCAUGCAAUGCGGUUCUUCCUUCAACGCGCGUGGGUGGCAGGCAGCGUACAAGGCGAUGUCGCUCGUAGAUGCCUUGGCGAACGGCAUAGAGGGUAUGUGGCAGCGCCAGGCGCGCCGUCUGCUGGACACGACACCGGUGUCAAAAGAAACUAGUCUGGUACUUCCAAAGCCGCCGGAUUCCGCGGCAAAGUCGGCAGCUUCUUUGGCUUCCACUGGGCUCGAUGCGAGCAACAAUAACACAAGAAGCGUCUCCUCCGCAGCGAUGGCGCCGGAGCAGCAGCAGCAGCAGCGCGCGGAUCUGUGGUUCGGUGCUCUCAACGAUGUACCUGCCAGCAUCGUCGACCGCGCCUCUCGCGACAACCGAAAAGCUAUACUUUGGGGACUUCGCUCUGUCCCAACAUGUCACGUGGAUCUGUGGCUUGAUCGCCUCUUCGACGCCACGCAGUACCCACCGCGAGUGCAGCUGGAGAUGACCAGCGGCUUGGUGAAGGUGUGCGAGAUGGAGCUACAGUACACCCGCACCUUCUCGCUGACCAAACUGUUCGACUUUGUCAGCAUUUGUGCCUCUUUCUUGAGCCGGCUGCAGUGGCGCGACUUGUGGGCGCAUGCGAGUGAGGUGUUCACGCUAGCCGGUUGCCGCAGCAGCAGCGAGAUUGCCUUGUCCUCCUUGGAUGGCCUGCGGCUCGUCGCGCUGACUUACCUCAUGCGCGAGGAGCUGCUCAACUAUUCUUUCCAGAAGGAGGUGCUGAAGCCGUUCGAGUUGAUUCUCAUGUCAAAUCAAAACGUCGCCUGCCGGCAGAAGGUGAUGAUGAUUCUCUCCGAGGUGAUCGACUUUCGCGCCGAACACUUGGCGAGUGGCUGGAACGUCGUCUUCUCGUGCCUCAGCCACGCCGCGGCCAUUCCAGAGGUGGCGCCGUCCGCCUGGUCCAUCUGCGAGGGUGUGAUACUGCGGCACAUCAGCUACGUGAAGGACUGCUUUAGCGACUUGAUCUUCUGCUUGACAACAUUUGCCUGCUCCGGCGUGGAGGAGAGCAUGCCGCUGCGCGCCAUUUCGUACCUUGUCGCGUGUGGCCACUGGCUGCAAUACGGGCUGGAGGCCCCUCCACUGGAAGUACGGACGGCAGACGCCGUUACGCGGUGGGCCACGCGCUAUCUCACAGUGGAGCAGGAGCUGGCAGCGUCUCACGUGCUGGGCAAGCCCCUGUCGCGGGUGACGCUCGCCGCGGAGCCCCUGACGCUGGACGCGCUUCUCCAGAAGCCCAUGACCUUUACCAGCAAGACGAAGUACCACCUAUGGAUGUCGCUGUUCGAGGGAAUGGUGCCGAUCGUCGUCGUGCACAGCUCCGUCCGGGUGCGAGCACAUGCCCUUUCGUCGAUAUGGGCGUUGCUGGCGCAGUACGCGGGCCUGUUCGAUGCGGAGGUGCGGAGCUCGCUGUUCAAUGGCAUGGUGCGACCGAUGCUGACGACACUGCUGACGCACGUGCCUGGGGACGCGGAUCUGGUGUCGCCAACGAUGUCUGGCGGCUACGAGUCUGACCGCUUUGACUAUCGACUCCUUGUCUACUUAGCGCUUAAGGGCAUGCUACUCGCAUGUAAGGAUCACGCUCACUUGCUGGAGCUGGCGUGCAAAGUUUUGAAUGAGCUCGUGGAGUCGACCAACAUCACCAUGCGCAUGCUCCGCAACGACUACGUCGAUGAGGUACUGCGGGUGUGCUACGACUUUGUCUGGGCUGCGCCGUCCUUGGCGACGAUGGAUGCGUUGGACAGGCUGCCCAGCGUCCCCGGCGCGCCGUCUUCCAAGGACGCCGUGAACUACGCAGAAAGGCUGUAUCAAUGGAUCCCAACGGAGGCCCGGCACGACAAUCCGUUUGUGGUAGGCCUGGUGCAUGAGAUUCAGCAGGUCGGCGUCGUGGACGUGGUGCACUUUAAGCGUACCGCUGGCUGGGUGGAGCUGCAUCAGACGCCGGCGGCGCGCAACACCCCGGUGCAAGUGUCCCUAUCCAGACUGUCCGCCACAUCGGUGCAGUUGGCGAGUGCGAUAAUGCUGCAGAUCCGCUCCACCAUCUUCCGCUGCCUCACGCACGGCCUCCUGGGUAAGCUUCAGCUCCUCCUCAGCACGUGCGAGGCGGACCGGAACGUUUGCCUCGAAGUGUCGGGCGCCAUGCGCCACGUGUUGCUUGGUUUGAGCUUCUAUUUUCUCGUCACCCGAGACGCCCGCGCAGUGCGGUUUCUCAAGUCGGUCAUGGCUACAUCGCACGAGCACGGAAUGGUGGGCUCGCAUGACGUCGCUUCUCACACGGAGCCCGCGUCGCUUACAACCGCUGCUGGCACGGACGCCUCGGCGGGCGACGGCGCUCUGAAGAGCAGGUGCUCCUCCACAGCUGCUGUUGCAGCGUCACCGGCCUUCAUCGCGACCUCCAAAAACGCUGUGCUGGAGACGCUGUUGCUGAUUCCGUACGCGUGCGUGUUGAUCGAGUUCAUUGCCGCCUUUGAUCUUGGCGAGGCCGACGACAACGUGGUGCGUAAUGAUUUGUGGGCCUACGUAAGUCAGUAUUUGGAAGAGCUGAAGCGAACCCGGCUGGCGUGCAUAGAGCUGCAGCAGACGGUGCAAGCGGGCGUGCGCGCUGAACUGGAGGCCGCAGCAACCACCACCAACCCUUCGACACCCGCAACGCAAGUAUUCAAAGAGUACAAAGGGUGCCAUUUCACCGACAUCUUCCGCUCCGCCCGUUACCCGAUUGGGGCUCGCACCCUCUACUUGACUGCCCAAAGCGAUCCAUCGAUCCGCCAGCGCGUCUUCACCGAGUGGUGCUACCUUCUUCGCAUCUACGCCCUCAAGUGCACAGCGAUCCUUGGCGCCAGCUCUGUCGUGCUACAGGCGUGCCCCACUCGUGAUUUGAUCGACGUGUUGCGAGUAAUUCCCAGCGCGUUCGAGGAGGCGGCAGUUAGCGCCUACUUCAAUAGCUGCUGGGAGGAGAUGGACUUGCACUGCAGCAUGCCGCCUGAGCCGUGUGUGGAGUUGUGUGCACGUAUCCUCGAGUCACGCAUGUGAAGUGCUUGCCGGUAUGGGUUUCUCUCUCCCUCCUCCUAGCAACAGCGCCGCGUUCCAGCGAAUGCGGACGAUCACGCAUGCGUCCUCUUUUGGUUUUCUCGUCGCUCCUUCGCCUUCCGUGACCUAUGGGCCGUGGUUUUCCUCCAGACACAGGAGAACACUACUGCACACAUGCCUGCGCGGGCACGCAUUCCCAUCAGUCUCCUUUACUUGUUGAUGACCCUCUUUCCUUUUUCUGUCACGCGAGUUGGGCUUUGGUGGUGGUGUGAGGCUCAUCUCUUCAUGUGUGUGUGUGUGUGUGCGUAUGCGUAUGCGCGUGUGUGUCGUUACUGUGGCUCCUCUUUGCUUCCGUCCUGUGCUGCUCUUUCUCUCGUCGCCUCUCCUCUAUCAUUCCUCGCUUCGCCCUCCCCCCUCCCCCAAACUCACACACUCACGUGGCUUCAUUACGGCGCUGCCGGUUCGCGUCACUGCCUUGCGCGUGCGAUGCCUUUUUUUUGCUUCACGCCUGUUACCUUUUUUGUUCCUUGGUGGCCAGAGGUGAGGUGUCAGAGUUUUCCUUUCGGCAACAUGGUAUGGUCGCGCGGCUGGAGGCCGAGUGGGUCGGGAGGACCUGGCAGAGCUUGCAUCAUGCCUCUCAGUCUAUGUUUGUGUCUGCGUGUACGUGUUCAUGUGCCUCGCGUAGUGUCGAACACGUGAAGAAUUUGUGGGCUGUUGCCUCUACGCAGCACAUCCACCUUUCUAUUGGAGUCCUCCACACGAUCGUAUUCGAGGAAAGAAGCUCCAAGGAAAAAGCGAAGCAAAAGAAAAUACAUGCAAAAGGGCGUAUGUGUGAUUGUGGUACCGGCGUAGCGGACUGCGCAUGUGAGUGCGUGUGUGUAGAUGUCUGCCCCUCCCCCUCGCGGUGAACGCGAGGGAAGUCAAGCUGGAUGGGCACUGCAAUGGAACUGUAGUGGCUGUGUGGGGGACUCGAAAAGUCGGCAGAAGCGUGACUAAAUGCAUCCCGUCUAUCGAAGUGCUCGGUGAAACGAUCGAGCCAAAACCGCGUGUGCGCUCAUCAUCCCUCCCUUUCUCCCGCAGGGAGAAGUACCUUUGGGUCGUUGUGCCGUCUCCAUGCGGGAAAGAUGUCGUCUGUCGCUUCAUUGUCCACCACCACAAUGUCCCUUGCCUCUGUUUCCCACACGAGUGCCGCGUUCUGCUUUUCUGCUUCUGUACUCUUGCUCCCGCUCUCUGCCGAGUUGUGACACGUUUAAG